rnacentral:SRP_RNA from 1 species
GCCAGGCUUGGUUGCAUGUGCCUGUUGUCCCAGCUACUCGGGAGGCCGAGGUGGGAGGAUCGCUUGAGCCCAGGAGUUCUGGGCUGUAGUGCGCUAUGCCGAUCUGGUGUCCACACUAAGUUUGGCAUCAAUACGGUGACCUCCCGGGAGCAGGGGACCACCAGGUUGCCUAAGAAGGGGUGAACCGGCCCAGGUUGGAAACAGAGCCGGUCAAAACUCCCGUGCUGAUCAGUAGUGGGAUCGCACCUGUGAAUAGCCACUGCACUCCAGACUGGGCAACAUAGUGAGACCCCCAUCUCU